AUUGAACGCUGGCGGCAUGCUUUACACAUGCAAGUCGAGCGGCAGCACGGGGGUAACCCUGGUGGCGAGCGGCGAACGGGUGAGUAAUACAUCGGAACAUGCCCAGUCGUGGGGGAUAACACUUCGAAAGAAGUGCUAAUACCGCAUACGUCCUGAGGGAGAAAGCGGGGGAUCGCAAGACCUCGCGCGAUUGGAGUGGCCGAUGUCAGAUUAGCUAGUUGGUGGGGUAAAGGCCUACCAAGGCAACGAUCUGUAGCUGGUCUGAGAGGAUGAUCAGCCACACUGGGACUGAGACACGGCCCAGACUCCUACGGGAGGCAGCAGUGGGGAAUUUUGGACAAUGGGGGCAACCCUGAUCCAGCCAUUCCGCGUGAGUGAAGAAGGCCUUCGGGUUGUAAAGCUCUUUCGGCAGGAACGAAACGGUGAGCUCUAACAUAGCUUGCUAAUGACGGUACCUGAAGAAGAAGCACCGGCUAACUACGUG
rnacentral:rRNA from 1 species